rnacentral:rRNA from 1 species
UACGAAGGGGGCUAGCGUUGCUCGGAAUCACUGGGCGUAAAGCGCACGUAGGCGGCUUUCUAAGUCAGGGGUGAAAUCCUGGAGCUCAACUCCAGAACUGCCUUUGAUACUGGAGGCUUGAGUCCGGAAGAGGUGAGUGGAACUCCGAGUGUAGAGGUGAAAUUCGUAGAUAUUCGGAAGAACACCGGUGGCGAAGGCGGAUCUCUGGGCCGAUACUGACGCUGAGGAGCGAAAGCGUGGGGAGCGAACAGG